GCGGGCGAGGUGACCUCGGGCGGAUUUGCAAGCCCCACAAGUUUCUCCUUUCUCUGCAAAACUGUCGUGAUUACAAUGUUGCUCCCCUUUUGCAAAAUAAAAGUAGGUUAGUUGGAUUGUUUGUCCUUAGAUUUCUAGGGGUUCAUGAAGGAGGAUGUGUAUUUCUCCCUCCCCCCCGCACUGCACACCCCGCGCCCUGUUACUUUUUUUUUCCGCUUCUCUUUCUGGGGAUGGAAAAACAACUUUGGGGCCCCCUGGGGGGUGCCGGCGUGGAGGUGGAGGUGUCCGCUAGGGCUCAGCUGUCAAAAAGCAGUGGGGCGUGGGGGGCAGAGACGACUGGGCAGGGAAACGCCGAGGAAAGGGCGCGAACUUUAUUCCGACUGCUGCGAACCUCGGCGUCGCUUUUCUUUUCGGGCAGUCGCCGGUCUCGGUCCCUUUUGACCAGUUCCUACUCGCGAGCCGCCGCCGCCGCCGCCCCCUCCUCCUUUCCCCUUCCCCUCCUCCUUCGUGCCCGUCGCGCUGCCCCGCACCCGGAUCAGCCCGGGUCCCUGCUCGCUGUCGGGGAGAAGGGAAGGCAGGCACAGGUUUCGAGCAUAUUCCCUGAACACUUGAAAAUCAGAAUCGGCGGAGGCGAACACUUGGCUUGGCAGGACAGCAGGUCUGGUUACCGGUUUCCACUGAGAAGAGAAAAUCAUCCCUCCUUGCUUUCUCUCUUCCCCGAAGUAGAGGAAGAGACUGCCCAAUUGCACUCAGAGUACGAAGAUCAACUCAGUGCGAUGGGGCAAGAGAAGUGCCAUCAACGAAGCCCAAAGAAAGUUCGUAGAAGAGUUCCCUGGUGGCUCAGCAAGUUAAGGAUCCAGCGUUGUCACUGCUGUGGCUCAGGUCACUGUGGUUCAGGUCGCUGCAGUGAUCAUUGACCUGGAAUUUCAACCUGCUAUGGGUAUGCCUUUCCCCCCAAAAGAGAAGAAGGACUUGUGGGAAAUCCAAAGAAAUGAGACUGUUCUGGUUCAAGAAAUAACUAGGAAGUGGUGUUUGAGAUGGGCCUAGAAAGAUGCCAACAGGCAGAGGGAUUUCCAGGUGGAGGAAAAUAAAUGUGAGAAGAAAGAAUGUGCA
ensembl:lncRNA